rnacentral:tRNA from 1 species
CAAAAAAUAGUUUAAUUUAAAAUUAUAGCUUUGGAAGUUAUAGAUGAGAAAAUUUCUUUUUUGA